rnacentral:autocatalytically_spliced_intron from 1 species
AGAAGCAAUUUUUAGCGUAUCAGAUAUUGCUUAAUAAACUGAGACUAAAUAAGGGUACUAGAUAAUCUAGGUUUAAACUUUAUUUAUAUGCCAACCCCCUACCCGUACGGGAGGGGGAAGAUAUAGUCUACACUUGUAGGAAUACAAGA